AGAAUCAACGCUGGCGGCGUGCCUAACACAUGCAAGUCGAACGAGAAAGUGGGAGCAAUCCCACGAGUAAAGUGGCGCACGGGUGAGUAACACGUGACUAACCUACCCUUGAGUGGGGGAUAACCUAGGGAAACCUGGGCUAAUACCGCAUAAUACCUACGGGUCAAAGGAGCAAUUCGCUUUAGGAGGGGGUCGCGGCAGAUUAGUUAGUUGGCGGGGUAAUGGCCCACCAAGACAGUGAUCUGUAUCCGGCCUGAGAGGGCGCACGGACACACUGGAACUGAAACACGGUCCAGACUCCUACGGGAGGCAGCAGUGGGAAUUUUGCGCAAUGGGGGAAACCCUGACGCAGCAACGCCGCGUGGAGGAUGAAGCCCCUUGGGGCGUAAACUCCUUUCGAUCGGGAAGAUAAUGACGGUACCGGAAGAAGAAGCCCCGGCUAACUUCGUGCCAGCAGCCGC
rnacentral:rRNA from 1 species